rnacentral:rRNA from 1 species
GACGGAGGAUGUAAGUGUUAUCCGGAAUCACUGGGCGUAAAGCGUCUGUAGGUGGUUCGAAAAGUCCACUGUUAAAAAUUGAAGCUUAACUUCAAAGAUGCCGUGGAAACUUUCAAACUAGAGUGUGGUAGGGGUAGAGGGAAUUUCCAGUGGAGCGGUGAAAUGCGUAGAUAUUGGAAAGACCACCGAUGGCGAAGGCACUCUACUGGGCCAUUACUGACACUGAGAGACGAAAGCUAGGGGAGCAAAUGGG